rnacentral:rRNA from 1 species
CCUACGGGCGGCAGCAGUGGGGAAUAUUGCACAAUGGGCGCAAGCCUGAUGCAGCCAUGCCGCGUGUGUGAAGAAGGCCUUCGGGUUGUAAAGCACUUUCAGCGGGGAGGAAGGCGGUGAGGUUAAUAACCUCAUCGAUUGACGUUACCCGCAGAAGAAGCACCGGCUAACUCCGUGCCAGCAGCCGCGGUAAUACGGAGGGUGCAAGCGUUAAUCGGAAUUACUGGGCGUAAAGCGCACGCAGGCGGUCUGUCAAGUCGGAUGUGAAAUCCCCGGGCUCAACCUGGGAACUGCAUUCGAAACUGGAAGGCUAGAGUCUUGUAGAGGGGGGUAGAAUUCCAGGUGUAGCGGUGAAAUGCGUAGAGAUCUGGAGGAAUACCGGUGGCGAAGGCGGCCCCCUGGACAAAGACUGACGCUCAGGUGCGAAAGCGUGGGGAGCAAACAGGAUUCGAUACCCGAUAGUC